CCUACGGGAGGCAGCAGUGGGGAAUAUUGGACAGUGGGCGCAAGCCUGAUCCAGCCAUGCCGCGUGAGUGAUGAAGGCCUUAGGGUUGUAAAGCACUUUAAGCGAGGAGGAGGCUACUUUAGAUAAUACCUAGAGAUAGUGGACGUUACUCGCAGAAUAAGCACCGGCUAACUCUGUGCCAGCAGCCGCGGUAAU
rnacentral:rRNA from 1 species